UUGACCGCUCAAAUGAGAAUGCUUAUAUUUCAGGUGUGGCGCUCGCCAAGUGCCACUUACCAUGCAGAGAAUGUCAGGUUCCCUGCCAUGGUUUCUCCUCAUCAAGCUAGUCACGGUCUUAAUGCCGCCCUCUCGGGCGGCUUUUUUUUG
rnacentral:sRNA from 1 species